UGCGAAUAUAAGAGAAAGGCUUUAUUGAUGGAGGUGGGGUUCUGUGACGCCUUUGUCUGGUCGUAGAACACAAACGAAGAACGUGAAGUUGUAGCUAUGGCAAACUUGUAAUCUAAACAAAACUCAAGUCUAAACGGUGCCCUAAGGGCUGUAUAUAUGAGGGAAUAGAGAGGCAAUUUCAUGACCCUGGAGGAGGUGUCCGAAAACAGCCCUAAACUCGGUUUUCCCACACAUACGGACUCUAAAAAUAGCCUAUAUUGUGGUGUUUCGAAAUUACAUGGGCCUGGCCCAAAAAUAAGGUGGUGCAACACCUAUAAUAGCCUAUGGACGAAAUUUAUAAAGUGGCAUCUUGAAUAUUUCGUCCAAAGCCUUCAUGCUCUCCUUAUGGUGACUUUAGAGUGCGAAAAUCACGAGUGGAAGCUCCAUUGUUCUCUGUCGCGCGUGCACCUUCUUCUCCAUGCUUGAUCCCGCUCCAACGAAUAUCCUUCUUGUCCAUGCUAGGUCCUUUAUUCAUGAGCACAACAAAAAUAUCUAACUUAGGAAGCAUCAUAUAUUCAUAAGCAUUAGAAGUAUUCCCAAUAAACGAAAGUACCUGGUAAUUCAAUUGGCGUGCACAAGCUCUAGUAACCGGUCCAAUAUGUAUAGCAGCUGGGGAUGUGGGUGUAACAAUGGUGUUGAUGUCCUCAUCAACAUGGGAGGAGUCCGUAAAGAGAAUCUAAAGGAUUAGAGCAUCACCAAAGAACUAGCCAUGAACAGGUGUGCGUAGAAGCUUGCUAUCCAUGUGCGAGAACCAUGAGUUGGUCACAAGAUCUUAUGGAUUUCACUUCUAGCCUAUCCCAACUUGUUUGGGACUAAAGACUUUGUUCUUAUUGUAUAGGUUGAUGAAUUUCCCUCGUAGCUUUCUUUCUAGCUAUUGUUGAUCGAUGUAAUAAAAUUUAGCAAGAUGGCUUAGAUUUUUUCAUGUGGUUUUCUGGUUAGUGGCAGAGUGUUAGAUGAUUAAUUUGAUGUUGGCCUGUUGAAUCUGUCUGUUUGUUGCUUCAUUAAUAAAUAAAGUGGAGCGGGAGACCCCUUUCAUUUCAAAGAAACGAUAGGUCUGAUGAAGGAAAUAACUCAUAGACUAUGUAGAGAAGCAGGUGUCAAGAACAUAACGUUGGGUGUGAUGAGAAACAUCAGCCUCCACUACAGUUGGACGAAGCCAGCAAAGUAAACAUGCGGCUACAACUAACAACACAACAUCGAGAGGAUAAGGGUGAAGAGAAAGAUGACCAACAUGGUUUGUCGGGGUGAUGCUGGUGUUUGGCAAGAUGUCGGAGUUUGGCGACAUGCCGGGAGGACGGCGCCGGAUUUCCUCGGUCGGAUUCGGCGCUGCCUGGUGGUGCUCUUCCUCGUCGUGGUGCUCUAGUGGUUGGAGCCGCAAGCGGCGGGGCGAGGGUCUGCCGGCUACUCCAUAAAUAAGGCCUGCUUGGGCAGGCGGGUGCUGACCUCUGUUCUUCACUGUACCAUGGAGGUGGAAGGAAGGAGAUGCAGGUGAAGCUUUUGUACGGGUCUCGGGCUGUUAUGGAGUGGCGAUGCAGCUGUUGCAAGGUGAACAAUCUCGGUGGCCCAAGUUUUGGUGACCGACUCUGAUGACCAGCUGGUGGUCUCCCUCGAAGCCGGCGAUGAUUGCCGAGGCUUCUUCAACCUCCAUGCGGAGGCCCCUUUUUGAGUUCACGGUAGCGUUCCCCUUCCUCUCGGUGCCAAGUGGUUUCGUCCCUUGCUCCGGCAAGGAUGGUUGCAAGCUAAGCUUGCGCUUCUCCGUAGUGCAAAGGACCUGAUUGCAUUUUCAUGUUUAUUUUUUGGGUCCUCUCUGUAAAAACAGGGGCUGCUUUCUAUUUUCUUUAUGUUUUGGGUCCCUGAUUUACCUUGUAUGUGCACCGCUGAAAGUUAAUGGAAUCCAGGCCCUUCGGGACCUCUCCAUGUUCAAAAUGAAAACAUGGGGCUCCAAAUAGGAGUGAGGG
rnacentral:lncRNA from 1 species